UUUUAGUCAACUUCAGUUAUUUCUCUGUGUAUCAUUUCAAGGCAUGUGAAGCGGUCAACCAAGAGUUCCUGGAUGGGGACAAAUGUCAUGGAUCCUACAGAGAGAAAAUCAUUUGGUUCUUCAGUGAGUAGCUGAAUGCUGCAAAGAUGUUCUUGACCCAAUCCCUGGAGAUGUGCCAGCGUGUGCUGGGCUGGAUCAUACAAACUUUGCCCAGUCUCUGAACUACCUGCGCUUCACAGCGAGAGGAAAGAGUAUGAGAGUGCAGAGGAGCUGUGUGAAAGUGCCCUUGACAUCCGCAAACAAGUACUUGCCUCAGAUCAUCCCUUUCUCACCCUUACCCUCAAACACUUGGUCAUGCUUUACAAAAGCAGGGUGAGAAACCACAGGAAAAGGGUUACAACUCACCAGCUCUGCAGAACAUGUAGCAGUCAAGUGACGAUUAUGCAUACAUUCAUUCUGAAAUGUUUGUUUUUGUGUGCUUUUGCCUUUUUUAUAUUAUUUAUUAAUCUGUGGACCUUUUUUAUUGGCUGGUGCCUCAUUUAUGAACUGGCUCUUGAAAUCCGAGGGAAGAGUAUAGGGCUUAAACACCCCAGUGUGGCCACUGCUUUGGUUAACCUCACAGUGCUCUAUUGCCAACUGAAGCAACACAGUGAUGCAUUGCCUUUGUAGGAGCACACUCUAAAGGUGUAUGAGUACAGUCUUGGCUGACUGCACCCUUAUCUUGGAGAGACUCUGAAAAACCUGGCUGUACUCAGUGUAUGGCCGGCAGCCAUAUCACCCUGCAGCCCAAGACCGGUUACCCACUGAAGUUAAGCAGGGCUGAGCCUGGUCACUAUCACCUAACAGCACCUGGUCACUAUCACCAUGUACACUAUCAGUACCUGGAUGGGAAACCUCCUGGGAAAACUAGGUUGCUGCUGAAAGAGGUGCUAGUGAGGCCAGAAGGGGGUGCUCACCCUGUGGUCUGUGUGGGUCCUUGUGCCCCAGUGUACUGAUUGGAACACGAUACUGUCAACAAGCACCUUCCUUUGGAUGAGACGUUAAACCGAGGUCCAGACUCUCUGUGGUCAUUAAAAAUCCAAGGAUGUCUUUCUAAAAGAGCAGAAGUGUGACUUCGGCAUCCUGGCUAAAUUCACCCAUUGGCCUCUAACCAUCAUAGCCUCCUAACAAUCCCCAUAUCUGCUGAUUGGCUUCAUCACUCUGUCUCUUCUCCACCAGUAAGCUGGUGUGUGGUGGGCAUUCUGGAGCAAUAUGGCUGCCAUCCAGAGCCUGAGGGGCACCAACCAUUCACAGCAACUAGGGGGGCACCACAUGACACAAGCUUUAAAAAUAUUUUUCGUAAAUUGUUUUAUUAUUAACUUGAAAUUCUUGAAAGACCAUACCAUUUUCAAACGACUGAAGAAUGAGCUCAGAACGACAAUGACAGAAGCGAUUGACACCCCUGUUUAACAUUGAAGUCAAAGUUAAAAUAUUACCGUAUACAGCCGCGAGAGGGCGCUCUAUGCUGCUCAGUGCUCCUGUAGUACACUGAAAACCUAGAGCUCCCUCUCGUGGCUGCAGACGGUAAUGUUUUCUCUUGGUUCUACAUAAAUGCGACUAAUAAAUGUUUUUUUCUUCGUCAUGACGUGUUUUUGGACUGAUGCGACUUAUACUUAGGUGUGACUAAUAUUCCAAAAAAUACGGUAGUUGGACAAGUUAAUAAAUUACAUUUGAGAAAUCACCUUAAUUAUGUUUGAUGGGGGGGGUUUGAGGUAUAGAGCCCAGGGGCACAACACUGUCUUAAUAUGGCCCUGCUGCCGUCGCAUCAUCCAGGUGGAUGCUGCACACUGGUGGUGGAUGAGGAGAUACCCCCUGAUUAUGUAAAGCGCUUUGAGUGCCUAGAUAAACGCUACAUAAAUGUAAUGAAUUAUUAUUAUUAUCUUAAAUAAUAGAGGAAAAGUGAUUAACCAUAUCUAGACAACAAAUUUUUACAUAGCAACCAUCCAGAACACCCUAGCAAUCUCGUAGAACCAACAGGGCAACCACUCUCUUACUUUCUCAGCUACGAAGAGGGAGAUUUUGAGAAGGCCGCUGAACUGUACAAACGAGUGAUGGAAAUAAAGGAGGCUGAGCUGUCUCUGGUGUGCAGUAAGCCCCCCUCACGUCACUCAUCCAGCGGCAACAUCUUUAGCCUGCUAAGCCCCGCCCUGUCUUGUGCCUCAAGGUGACAACUGAUACAUCAACAAUUAAGCUGAACUCUUACUUUUAAUAAUUAAGCCAUAUUGGCCACACUUGUUGCACACUUAAUGUAUCAUUCAUUGCCACUGGGUUUAUAAAAGGUGCUCUCCGGGUAAAUGGUAGAAAGUGCUUUAUUCCUGUGAUUUUCAAUAACUGCUGAAAUACAGCAUUCCAUAUCAUCAGUAUACCAAUAUUUCUAAUGCACUGCCGUUAAAAUGUGAGAUCUAGAAAAGUAGUGUUAAGUAAAGUCACUAUGAUCAGAAUAGUGUUAUUUAUGGAAGGCCACCUCAGAAUAAAAACAACAACAACAAAAAAAGAUAAUUGUGAGAAGUGUAAUGAUUUCCUGUAAUCAUAUAAAAUGUGAUCUACAGAGUUUCGGAGUUUCAGCUCCUUCCUCUGGUCUAUGACCUGCUUCCUGUCAUGUAAAUUAACUGUCACAGUCACUUUAAAAUGCAGAACUGUUGUAAAUUGCACAGUAAUAUUAAAGGACAGCUGACAU